AGUGCCUGGCACAUAAUAGGUGCUUAAUAAAUAUUUGUUUAUUACUUAUGGGAAAAUGCCAUGCCUUCUUCAUUAUUGCUUUAAAAAUUAACAGUCCUAAACUAGAACCAUUCCCAAUAAGCUCGGGGUGAAACAAGGUUGCCCAUUAUCACCAUUAGUUUUGUCAAUAAGAGAAGAAAAAGAGAUUAAAAGAAUUAAAGUAGGUAAUGAAACCAAAUUAUCACUCUUUGCAGAUGGUAUUCUUAGAGAACCUUAGAGAAUCAACUAAAAAAACCACAAAAAACAAUUCACAACUUUAGCAAAGUUCCAGGAUAUAAAAUAAAUCCACAUAAAUCAUUAGCAUUUUUAUAUAUUAUGAACAAAGUCCAGCAGCAAAAGAUACAAAGAGAAAUUCUAAUCAAAAUAACUGUUGAUAGUAUAAAAUAUUUGGGAAUCUAUCUGCCAAGAGAAAGUCAGGAGCUAUAUGAACACAACUAAAAAACAAUUUCCACACAAAUAAAAUCAGAUUUAAUCAUUUAGGAAAAUAUCAAGUGCUCCUAGGUAGGUUGAGCAAAUAUAAUAAAAAUGACCAUACUUUCUAAAUUUAUCUACUUAUUAAGUGCCAUACCAAUCAAACUCCCAAAAAGUUAUUUUACGGACCUAGAAAAAAUAAUAACAAAGUUCAUCUGGAAAAACAAAAGGUCAAGAAUUUCUAGAGAAUUAAUAAAAAAAAUGCAAAUGAAGAUGGCUUAGCUGUGCCAGACCUAAAACUAUACUAUUAAGCAUCAGGUACAGGUACUGGCUAAGAAAUAGAGUAGUCAAUCAGUGGAAUAGAUUAGGUUCACAAGACACAAAAUAGUCAAUAAUGAUAGCAAUCUUGUAUUUGACAAAUCCAAAAAUCCCACCUUUUGGGAUAAGAACUCACUAUUUGACAAAAACUGCUGGAAAAAUUGGAAACUUGUAUGGCAGAAACUAGGCAUUGACCCACACCUAAUACCAUAUACCAAGAUAAAGUUGAAAUAGGUUCAUGAUUUAGCUAUAAAGAGUGAUAUUAUAAGCAAAUUAGAAGAAUGUAGGAUAGUUUACGUCUCAGAUCUAUGGAGAAGGAAGGAAUUUGUGACUGAAAUGAGAACUGGGACUCAUUAUUGAACACCAAAUAGAUAAUUUUGAUUACAUUAAGUUUAAAAAUUUUUGUACAAACAAAACUAAUGCAGACAAGAUUAGAAGGGAAGCAAGAAAUUGGGAAAACAUUUGUAUAUUUAAAGGUUCUGAUAAAGGCCUUAUUUCUAAAAUAUAUAGAGAAUUGACUCAAAUUUAUAAGAAUUUAAGCCAUUCUCCAAUUGAUAAAUGGUCAAAGGAUAUGAACAGAAAAUUUUCCAGUAAAUUAAAACCAUUUCUAUUCAUAAGAAAAGGUGUUCCAACUCACUACUGAUCAGAGAAAUCCAAAUUAAGAGAACUCUGAGAUAUCACUAACCAUCUCUCAAAUUGGCUAAAAUGACAGGAAAAGAUAAUGACAAUGUUGGAGGGGAUGUGGGAAAACUGGGACAUUGAUACAUUGUUGUGAAUUGUGAAUGGAUACAACCAUUCUGGAGAGCAGUUUGGAAUUAUGCUCAAAAAGUUAACAAACUGUGCAUACCCUUUGACCCAGCAGUGUUACUACUGGGCUUAUAUCCCAAAGAGAAAUUAAAGAAGGGAAAGGGACCUGUAUGUGCACGAAUGUUUGUGGCAGUCCUUUUUGUAGUGGCAAGAAACGGGAAACUGAGUGGAUGCCCAUCAAUUGGAGAAUGGCUGAAGAAAUUGUGGUAUAUGAAUGUUGUAGAAUACUAUUGUUCUAUGAGAAACAAUAAGCAGGAUGAUUUCAGAGAGGCCUGAAGAGACUUACAUGAACUGAUACUAAGUGAGAUGAGCAGAACUAGAAGAUCAUUAUACACGACAGCACUGAGACUAUAUGAUGAUCAAUUCUGAUGGACCUGGCUCUCUUCAAGAAAAAGAUGUGGAUAUCCAGGUCAGUUCCAAUGGUCUUGUAAUAAUGAGAGCCAUCCAUACCCAGAGAGAGGACUGUGGGAACUGAGUGUGGAUCACAAUAUAGCAUUUUCAGUCUUUUUGUUGUUUGCUUG
ensembl:lncRNA